UUGUCUGCUAAUUGCUUUCCAUUAUAAGUCUAAGCAACAUUUAACACUGCGAGGGGAGGCAAAAUUAUCAGGACCGCUAAAAGUAGAAAUCAUCUUUUUCUGAGUCAAAAGUUCUGUUUUCUCAGUUGAGAAUGAAUGGUUUCACGCUCACAGGACACCGUUUCCUAUCUCUUAGUCAGAUUGUGGGAGCAAUGACCAUAAAGCUCCCACAGCCCCUGCUGGUUUCGAGGUCUUAUGAGCCGCCCCUGAGGCAUAUUAGAGGACCUACUCGGCAAGGAGAGACUCGCUCUAAUCAAAAUUAUUUCCUGGUGGUGUGGGGUGGGGGCGGGUGACACUGCCCUGCCAUCAUUGCUUCAGGCUUUUAAACUUCUGUGCUCAUCUUUGACCCAUGUGCUUCUAUUUUCUUUGUCAAAUCCCUUUUGAAAGUUGGUGAAUACCACUCUGUCGAUGGAGAUAGAAACCCAGUAGUCCUCGUCCAUCGUUUUAGAAUAUUUGAAUUCACUGUCAGUGUUGAACAAAUCACAAUGUUUUGCACAACAUUUAGAAUUUGCAGCGUUCUCCAAAAACCCACACACAUGAGAAGGUCUUGCAAACACAGAGGCCUCACUGCCUCCUGGCAGAAAGGACUCUCCUCCAGGACCCCCAUGCUAAGCCUUCUGGCUGCCAACCACCGUCUCUGGCUCCAUCGCUCUUAGACACGGUCUGUCCAGCGUGUGGGGGGUUCACUGCUCACUUCCUCACCAACACGGGGUGCUCAGUCUGCAUAACUUGAACCAGUCUUGGGUGUGUGAGUAGAAAGUCAUUGUGUUUCAUUUGCAUUUUCCUGAUGACUCACGAUGUUGAGCAACUUGUCAUAUGCAACUUCUUUCCUGAAAUGUUACUGUCCCAGCAGUGGCUUAGUGCCCGACUGUCCCAGAGCCAGCUCCUUACACCCUGUCGUGCAGUCGCCCUCGCUGGGCGGCCCAGGUCCCCAGAGGGCUGAAUGCCUGCUCUCUGGGAGCCCAGCUGCAACCAGAGGGCAAGAGAUGCUUUGCUGACACGUCUCUGCAGGGAAACCACAGUGCGAGCGUCUGAGCCUCACUGUGGUUUUCUGGCGUCAGGUGACAGACAGGCUUUGUGUCUGUCAGGGGCAAAGAGGACGUCAGGCGCAUCAUUGCACGGGUGAGCAGUUAGGUGGGGAGGCUUCGGGGAGCUGUGGCGACAACACAGAAAUGCAUCCUGCAGCGGUUACCCGCCUGGUAGUGGGCUCAUGACCAAAGGAAAUCCUCUACCGAGUUUUCAUCAAAGGCAGGCCCGUCGCCCACGCCCCACCGCACACGUCAGUCUUCCUCCCGCAGGUAACUUACAGUGAAGUGGAGACGCCCUGAAGCUGACUGCUGCUUGCCCGGGGCUGCUAUGCACAUCCUCCUCCUGUGGUCUUCAGUCUUGUUCCAGGUGGAUCCAUCCUGCCCUCCAGCAGGACUGUGAACUUGGUGGCCCAGGCGUCGUCCGUCGUGCUAAUCGGUGUUCCUUCUAGCUCUCCGCAAGGAACCGGGCACCAUCCUUGAACUUGUUUCCAGCAGGUGCCCACUGGGCAAUAGGAAGGUGGGGCUCGAGGUUCUGCAAACAGACCAGUCUCCUGCUGAAGACGGCGCAUGCAGGCAGCUGACGUCCCCAAAUAGGCUGUCUUCCUCUGAAGAGCCUGGUGCUGAAUGCAGAAGGAAACAGGCAGGAGCGUCACGGACACAUGGCCUUCUCUCAUCUGCUAUUUUAAACUCUUCAGACUGGUGAAGACUAGUCUUUGUUUCCUGCUUCUGAGCAAAAGUAAUGGGGACAUUUGGUUUACAUGGUUGGUUUGGGAGGAGAAAAGGUUCCUUUGCCAUUGAUCUGACUUAAAUUCUUGACCAUCAAAAGGGCAAAUCCUGCAUAUUUGGAAAAACAAAAGACGAGUGAAGAAUUGAACAUAUAAUGAAGAACACUGCAGUGGACGGUUUCUUAAGAUGAGAAGCCCCAACAUGUGCUGUAAACAUUUAUGAAGCAGCUUUAAUGAAGUCUGCUGGGUCCAUCCUUCUUGUAAAGAGCUACACAGUACUGUAAACCAUGAAUGCACACCAGUAUAUUUAGCCCCUUCGAAAGCAUUUGAAAAACUCCGGAGCCUCUAAAAUUCAUACAAUUGGACAACUUGCUUCCAUUACCAGGAGUGAGCAGUCGUGGAUUUCCUUGGGCUUCCUGAGAUCCCUGUCAUGUUGAGGAUUUCCGCCUAAGCAUCUGUAUGUAGCAUGUGCGGUUCCUUUUGAGAAACAUGGUAGCAUUACCCCCGUGAAGCUCUGUUUCCUCCUAUAUGUUCAUUUGCUAAAUUUAUUAGUUGUUAUUCUCUCUCAUAUUCCUUGAUGGCCAAAAUGAAAAUAAUCAGCGUUUCUCUGUGAUGCUCACCCAAAACUGGUCUGAAGACAUAAGCACAGAGCAGAGAGGGCCCCAGGCCCGGAGCUGCCAGCAUCUUCCCACGUUGCCGCACGGGAGAGGGUCUGAGAGUAUGGCCGACAUGGGGAGGGCAAGGCUGUGCCUCCCGACCUUGAUCAGGAUCCUGGAUCCAGCGGUGCCUGCAGCCAGAAUCACUGCUGGCCUCUCCCUUAGCGGCCCCGGGCGUUUUCCUUUUGUUUCCGUCAAAUGGGGUAGCAGUGGAUGUGGCCCUCACCGGCAGAGCUUCAGGGCCGGGUUUUGUCACUCCUGGUAUGUCUCCUUCUGGUUUCAGCAUCCUCAGUGAGCUUCUGCCUGCCCCUCAAUGUCCUGCCUCUUCGCUACUUAUUUCAACAUGGCAAAAGACUGACAAAAUCAAUAGUCUGUACACAGCAUAAAUCGUUCUUUGUCUGACUGCAUAAUGGUUACUACGUGCCCUUGCUGUUAGUUCAUAUUUUACUUAGGCAGCACGGCAACCUCCCCCUGCCCCAAAUCUAGCAGGCAUUACUUUCUGUGCAGAAAUUUUACAGUCAUCUCAACUCCAGCACGCUGGGAAAUAAGCAUCUGGAGAAGCUUUGCAGCCUCCUCGUUAUAUUUACAUGUCCUCGUGUGCGUCAGGCCUGAGCUCCCGCCAAAAGUUUACAUCUAAUUGCCCCACAUCAUAUUUUUCCCCUUAAAUAAAAACAAAUGGUUGUAAA